rnacentral:lncRNA from 1 species
CUCAGCCACAUGUCUUUCUUUUGUGAAGGUGAUUUCUUUAAAAAAAUGAAACAAUGAAAACUUCCAGGGUUUAUAUUUUUCUUAUUAUUUUUGACUGAAUCCCUAAGCCUGCUCACAGAGCCUCAGGAUGUAGGUAAGAAAUAUACUAAAUAUCAGUAAGGAAUGACAAAAUUAGUAUAGUUUCUCUUUUUAAACACAUCUUAAAAUUUAAUUCUUCACAUAUUUUUUUUCUCCUUCUCUCUAAUUUAUAUUUAAAUUUCAGUUAUCUCAAGCUACCUCCUUCAGAAUUUGUAUUUUGUUGAUUAUAUGACCAAACCUGUAGGCAGAGACAGUUUUCACACUAUGAAAAUGGUCAGCAACCUAUGGCAAGAAAGAUGGUGUUGCUUAUAGAUACAAUUUGAAUUUCAAAAUAUUAACACUUCUUGCAAAUGUAUACAGUUGAUGGUAAUAUUAGAAGAACAGAUGGUGAACAACUUUAGGGUGUAAAGGACCCUGAUCUCUCCCUCAACUGUACAUUUUAUACAUUCUCUCCAAAACUGCCCUAAGCAGUGUCAACCUGGAGGAAGCUGCAAUUUUUCUAUUUUUUUUAUGUCCAAAAAGGAAAAACUGAACUUGUAAACUGGUCUUGUAAACCCUCUGACCUGGAAGUUGUACCUUUUUGUAACUUGCACAAAAAUGUCCUAAGUGUCCUAGUCACAGGGCUUGAUGAAAGUGAUUGUUCUUCAGUUCUCCCUCUCCUUUCCCUUUGUAACAAUCUGUUUCAAAAUCCUGUUGAUUUCUGUCUAAUGUCUUUUGUGUUUGUGUUUUCCAUUUCUUUUCUAUUACUCCUGCCCAAAGUAAGGUCCUGAUGAUUUCUCAAUAGGUCAAUUACAAAAAUCUCCUAAUGUGCUUCUUCUUCUAUCCAUCUAUUUGACUAAUAGUUCUUAUCAGUUUCUGUGUGUUAGGCACUGCGGAAGUCCCACUAUAUAAAAUAUAUCACUACCCGAUUGGUAUUUCUUAGUAGAUAGCUAUCGUCAUAUUACUAUCCUGUAUAAACAUAUUCAAUGGCUUUCAAUUGAGGCCCUAACUCCUCAAUUUUAUAUGCAAGAGUCCCAUAAUCUGAACCCAGGCCCUUUUUAUCUUAAAGAGGUCCUAUUGCCUUUCUUUAUGACCUACCUUCUCAUCAAAAUGAUUUGGCUUUCCCCAAAUAUAUCUUAAAAUUUAUCAUCUUUGUGUUUUAAUCACAUCACUCUCUCCACACUGAAAGGCAGGGCUCCUUAUUUUCAUGUUAGUUGAAUCUUUUACAUUUUUUCAUAUGCAACUCAUGUGCCACUCCUGUAAAUCCUUUUCUGGUUCCUCACCCAGGGAUCACAAAGCAUCCCUGUGAAAUAUGUAACCACAUCCUAAAUGGGAUAAUAGUCAUAGGCACAAGCUGAUUUCACUAUGAGGGUGCUUAAGAACGCCAUCUCCAGGAGACAUAUCUUUCUUGAUCAUUGUUGAUGGCCUCAUAGUGUCCAGCUUGAUAAAACAUAAGGACUUCAUAAACAUAUUCUAUGUGGAAAACAUAAGUGUCUUCUGAUACACUUAUGCUCAUUGGGAGAGAAUCUAUGAUUUUAUGAUUUGAGGUGAGUCUGGAGAUCACUUAAAUAUCUAUGUCUGAGUAGUACUAUAAACUACACUCCCCUCAGCAUGCUGAGACCUCUCUUAUCAACUCCUGUUCUGGAAUUAUAUCACUUACCAGUUAGUCUUCAUAUCACUUCUCUAGUCAUAAGUGACAGACAUUUGGCAUGGACAUGGUGUUUGUAUUUCACAUUAGUUAUUGGGGAGCCAUCAAUGGCAAAUCUAAAAUCCUAUCAGUUUGAGAUUAAUUCAAUCAGUUCAAUUUAGUAAACAUCCUGAGCACACAAUUAGCUAGGAUUAAGAUCUCCUAUUUGGGGGCUGAGGUGUGGCUCAGUGAUGGAGCGUUCACCUAGCAAGUGCGAGGUCCUGGGUUUGAUCUUCAGUACCACAUAAAAAGAAAUAAAUAAAAUAAAGAUAUUGUGUCCAACUCAACUAAAAAAUAAAUAUUUUUAAAAAGAUUUCCUAUUUGGUUCAUCUGACUCCUAUCUUUCUCAUUAAAUGUCAAGAUACUUUCUAUCAUAAUAUUUUACUUUACACUUUGUAGGCUUAAGUGUCAUGUAGUUUUUCAUUAGAAAAAUGUAAAAACACCAGAAUAUUUAAUAACCUAAAUAUCUUUACUUUCCAGACAACUUCAUAUUACCCAGAAAUUUAUAAAAGAGAACACAGGAAUCCCUGUGAGUUGUGCUAGAUUCUUUUUCAUGAUGAUAGUUUUGUAAUCUUAUGUGAUCAUUCCAGAAAUUUUAGUGCUUUUAAAGAUAAUUUAAACUGAAGCCAUAUAUAAAAGUAAAUACAACAACAUUAAUUAUAAAAUUCAGCCUAUGCAAUUGAAUUGUUAAGAAAAUAUAAAAUUUAUAGACUCCAUACUUAAUCUCCUGAGGCUAUAGAACAAGUGGACAUUCCUCUGAGUUCUUGUUAGUGGAAAUUCUGCAGAUGAUCACUGAUUCUGCACGUGGACUGUUGCAGCACCAUUAUCACUUUGCUCAGUAUGUUCAGGAAGAAACCUUUAAUGAAAUGGAAAUUCUAGUGAAAUACACAAUAGAAUACAGGGAUAAAUGUUUUGCUCAGCAGACCCUUCUAGAGUGUGCUGAAAUAGCUUUAAGUAAAUCACUUGCAUUUCUUAUAUAUAGGAGAUUAUUUGCCAACAAUGAGAAAGUUUCUGGAUUGCAAUAAUGAAAAGAAAGAUAUCCUCUGUGUACCAUUUUUAUUUCACCUAGUUUCAGUAUUUAGGAUAGGGCUUGUUUAUCAGGUGAGAUGCACUUAUUUUUAUUAUAUACAGAAGGACUUAGUUAUAUACUUGGAAUUUGUUUGCAUAUGUCUUAUAUAUGCAGAAUCACCAUCUGCAUCUCUAGAAACUACUGAAAACUAUUUCCAAGUCCUCUGCUGAUACACUGACCUUGUUUCCUUGGGAGAUCAGGAGAAAAGCCAUGAUGCAAGGGAAAUAUAGGUAGUAAAUAAAGAGUAGCAGGUUCAGGGGGCUUGUGGUGGGAUAAAGACAGCUUACCAACUCAUGGGAUGGUUGUCAAGGGUGUAGGUGAAGAUGCUCUGCUGGGAAUAGUGGGGAAAUUGCAAUCCUUUUUCCACAAGAUAGCACUGAUCAUUUGUUGUGUUUAUUGUUUCUUUUCAUAAGAUAGAACAGAUUAACCAUGACUAAAAAUGUCCUUUUCUUCUCUGUUGUCCAGAUGAAUGUGUUACAGGGAAGGAUAUGUACUUUGGAGGUGUUGCCACAAAAGUAUAAUUUUUCACAGUGCUGCAGUUAAAAAAAAAGUGGACUUUGAAAGAAGACUCUAUUUCUGUAUAAAGAAAGCUGAUGUAGGAUUUCUGCCCCUUUCCUUACUCUGGAUCUUGAAGAGAAAUGCCAGGCUUAUAAAAAUAAAAGAGAAUCUUUUCUAAAUCAGUAAAUUUAAUCUUGGUAGAUAAAUGAUUUAAUCAAAGCAUUAUUAUUAGGCUAAAUCAAAUACUUACCUCAAAAGAUCAUGACAGGGCUCAUUGAUUGAUUGAGUGAACCAAUGUGUUAUCAUAUGUCAGGUUCUGUUUAGGAUAUGGUUAUGACUAAGAUGUGGUCCACCUUUAAGAUCUUUACAUUACUGCUGUGUAUCUUCUGAUGAGAGAAGCCCUAGAAGAGAGGUAUGUGACCAGUGUCAAAUCGCUAGGAAACUAGUGAGGAAAUGACAUAUUUUCCCAAGGUGAAGUUUCAGCUCUUUUUUAAAAUAAAUUUAUUUUAAUUAAUUAUACAUGACAACAAAAUGCAUUUCGAUUCAUUGUACACAAAUGGAGCACAACUUUUUAUCUCUCUGGUUGUACAUGAUGUAGAGUCGUACUACUUGUGCAAUCGUACAUGCAACUAGUGUAAUGAUGUCCAGCUCAUUCCACCAUCUUGCCUACCCCCAUACCCCCUCCCUUGAAGUUUCAGCUCUUACCUUGGGAAAACAUGAAAUUAUUGGCUGUUUAGCUAACAAGCUAUUUUUAAUAGUUCAGUAUUUGUAGAAGCACAGGCUUUGUAUGUAAAGAUAGUGUGCUUUGAAACCUGUCACAUAUUUAUUUGAACAAAAGUAAAAAUUAUCCUUGAAUCUCGAAUGGGGUGUAUAUUGGUUGCUAUUCUUUGAAUAUGGAAGGGAGAUCUGCUACUCACCAGGCAUCAAGGGUAGAGAAAGUGAUUAUUUGUAAAUGAGUGUGCUGGAUUAGAGCUGCAAUUAUCAAUUUUAAUUUAGAGUUAGCAAUGUCAGGGAUACGGACUUUGAAGGAUGCUACUGAGGAAUGUAUAAUGUUGCCUCAUAUAAAAUUUUCUAUAAUAGAGACCUUUCUUUUACCUUCUUUAUUUUUGCGGGGUGGUAGUGGUGGUGGUACUGGGAAUGGAACUCAGAGGCACUCUACCACUGUGCUACAUCCCCAACCCUAUUUUGUAUUUUAUUUAGAGACAGGGUCUCACUGAGUUGCUUAGCACCUCGCUUUUGCUGAGGCUGGCUUUGAACUCACAAUCCUCCUGCCUGAGCCUCCUGAGCUGCUGGGAUUACUGGUAUGCACCAUUGCGCGUGGCUUACCUUCACUUUCUUUCCUUUUCAUUUUCCCUCCCUUCCCUUCUCUGAUCUACCAUUCCUUUCCUGCUUCUUCCCUUUACCUUUUCCCAUUCUUCCUAUCCCCUUGCCUCCCUUCUCCUUCUUUCACUCCCUUUCUUCAUUAUCACCUUCCUUCCUUAGUGCUAGGGAUGCAACUCAGGGCCUUGCCCAUGUGAGGCAAGUGCUCUACUACUGAGCUAUACCCCCACCCCUUCUUCUCUGCUUUGAGAAAUAUUUUUAACUUCUUUAUAGCUAUAUGCAUAAAGUUGCCAGAAGGAACCCCUUUGCCUUUGGCCCUACACUUUUAACUGUUGCUGCUCGCUUUGAGGAAGUAGCAAAAACAGAAAGCCAACUGCUUUCAAGCAAAGGUGGGUAUUACAUUUUUUUGUUAAAGGAUAAGGAAUCAUCCCACUCCAUGGCUCUGGACACUUACUUAAAACUAUAAUUAUUUUAUAGCAAAUGACUUAUUUACCAUAUUCCCAUAUACCAAGAUAUUAUUGUGGUACACUCACCGAUUUAAACCCAUUCUCGUUACCCAAGACCCUUGUCAGAGAGUCACAAAUUUCCAGGGUCUUGUUUUCUGGCUUUAUUUUCUUUUAAAGUUGGAGGAAAACGCUAGUGAGUGAAUAUCAGGGUGAAGGGAACUGUUUAUCUUCUAUCCUGGACAAACCCUCUUUGACAUUUUCUCUUUGGCACUGGAGCCAUCGAAGUAGAGAUGGCCAAGCUCACAGCAUACUGCCCAACCAGGUGAGCACCACACAUCCCAGUCAGUUUAGCCAUCAGAGACACCAGCCUAACCUUCAGAGUGUACCACAAAUGCAUAUUUCUUUCCAUAUGCAAAUGUGUGAAAACAAAAAUUCCAUAGAUUUUCUUCUGUGAACAAACUCUCUAAUGAUGGAGAUGUAGUUUAAAAAUAAGAGAGUAGGGAGAUUUUGGUUUUGUUUUCAACAGAAUUUCCUCUUUCUCCUGUAAGCAGCACCUGACACACAAUAUUUAAAAGCAUUGUCUUCCCAUGAAAAACUGUGGUGCCUUUUUGAUAUUUGGACCCAAAAUGUUAAGCUCUGUAUGAGUUCUACAUUAUCUAUCUUGUCUAUACUUGUAUUUUCUUGUUUGCAUCCCAUUUGGGUUAAAUAAUUGAUCCUUUUCAUUUGUAUUCCUCCUAGUUCCCCAGAGGUUUUGAGGUGGGUGAGCAUGGCUGGCUCAGAACCAGGUCAGUCGAACAGGAUGAGAUAAAACUUGGGAGGAGGGAAGCUGUCAAGGAGAAAGGAGGCACUUCUGAGAUGUAUUUUGGUCAGUUUGUGGAUUAUCUAUGUCUCCUGUGGGCUCACAGCAGGAAGUGGAGGCCCUUAUGCCUUGUGCCCUACUGGGAUUAUGAAAGGAAACACCUCUCUUGGGUCUUUUAUUUGCUUGGAUCCAGCCAGGAUUUUUUAAAGUACAGAUGGUGCAAUAUGCCAUCAGCUGCUUGAUGAGGGCAUCUGGGCAAAGUCAGUGUGAUACCAGUGGCUUUGGAGCUGUUUAUGUUGUAUUAACAAAGAACUCGCUAUUGUUUUAUGGUUGUUCAAAUUAUUUCAGUGGUUUAUCAAUUCUCUUUCUAGAAAUAUUGCUGUAUUCAGUCAAAAAUUCCCCAAGAUUGAAUUUA